rnacentral:rRNA from 1 species
UACGAAGGGGGCUAGCGUUGUUCGGAUUUACUGGGCGUAAAGCGCACGUAGGCGGAUUGUUAAGUCAGGGGUGAAAUCCUGGAGCUCAACUCCAGAACUGCCUUUGAUACUGGCAAUCUAGAGUCCGGAAGAGGUGAGUGGAACUCCUAGUGUAGAGGUGGAAUUCGUAGAUAUUAGGAAGAACACCAGUGGCGAAGGCGGCUCACUGGUCCGGUACUGACGCUGAGGUGCGAAAGCGUGGGGAGCAAACAGGG